GAGAAAGAGAGUGACACAGAGCAGUUCGAUGGGUCGCGCGAGAAUCAGGUGCGUCCAGAGCAUCAUUUAUAUGCAAUUACACAUGCGAAAGAAAAAGAGAGAGUCACAUAGAGCAAUUCGAUCGAUCGAAUUGCUAUGUGUGAAUCUCUCUCUUUCUCUUGCACGAUAGAUCGAACUGCUCUGUUUAAAUCUCUCUCUUUCUCUUGCGCGAUCAAUUGAACUACAGUGUGAAUCUCUCUCUUUCUCUUGUGUGAUCAAUCGAACUAUUCUGUGUGAAUCUCUCUCUUUCUCUUGUGUGAAAUGGAGACGCCGAUGGGUAAGCACCACCAUAUUCCUCUGGAUGCCCCACCGCCGCUGCCUGAGAGAAAACCGGCGAGACAACUGGUGGGUCUAUUUGAGAAUGGGAGUUGCAAUCCCAUUCCGAUGUUUGAAUCGCCGGUUUUUUCUCCGGUGGAUGGGACUACUGCGCUAAGGGAAAGGGCUGCACCAUUCCGAUGUUUGAAUCGCCAGUUUUCUCUCCGGCGGAUGGGACUACCACGCCCAAGGGAAAGAGCUGCAGAAAACGAGUUUCCCCGGCGACAAAUCCGGGAUACAUGGAUUGGUCGUUCUUCUAUAAAAGCAAUGAUCCGCAAUACAUUGAUUGGUACUUUUGUAAAAGCAAUGAUUCACGUCCUCUGCACACCCUCUCAUUUUUCACUAGUAUGGCUCCUCGCUAUUUUAGGUGAAAUGCUCAUUGAUUAUGAUAUUGGUAAUGAAACCCUCGUUUCAUUGUAAAAAUGAUUAUCUUUUUUGUCAAAUUCAUGUGAUUUUUCUCAUGGGUCCUUUGCAAAUUCAUGCUUAUGGCAUAUUAAAUGUUUGUGUUUAGGCUUGACUUCCUAUUUGAUGAUUUUUUAUUGCACAUUGGAGAAACGGUUUUAAGGUUUAUAAAGAAAAGGGAGAUCUUAUUAGCUAUCAUAGAUGAUGUUGGGUCCACUGUCUGUAAUACUAGCUUAUUCCGUGGGAUGUAUUGUGUUAGAUAACUUCUUUAUAGCCUUGAGAUAAUUUUCAUUCAGGAUAUUUGUAAGCACAUUUUUUUGGUGUUUUAAGAAAAAAUUACCUUUGAUUUAUCCCUGUAUUUAGUUGUAUGCCUGUGUUGUGCUUCUUUGAUUUACCUAUGUUGUUUCUAUGAUUAAAAGUUGUUAUCCUUGCAUUACCUUUGAUUUAUCCCUACAUUUAGUUGUACGCGUGUAACAUGUGCAUUAUUUUUAGUUUUUAUCAAAGAUUUCAAUUGCUAGCCAAUACACCGAAUAGAUGGAAGGAUCUAUGUCCAUCCCCAACUUCCUUCUAUAUACAUGUAGAUAUACAAAACCAGAUUUUACUUACCUGUAAUCCAAAUUGCAGAAGCUUGUCAUAAUUGGCUAUCUCCAAUGCAUUCUCAACAUCCCAUGACAUUGCAUGUAUUUUAGCCAUAAUUAGGUUCAGAUCUAAUUAUUUUAGAUGGUGUAUGUUUUCCCAAAAUGCUAAGGAGCUGAAAGUGAAAACAACAUUCUUUUUUACAAAUGUCCCAUAUACAUUGUCCUAGGAUGGCUAUGUUUUCCCUUGCCCUUUUAUUGUUGCUUAUAACGCCUUAAUUAUUGACAUCAUAAUGAAAUUUAGAUUCAAAGAGUGGGCUGCCCAGGUAGUCACCUAGACCUCAAAGAACUUUAUCUUAACACAUGAAGGUGAUUUCUUGCAGCGUGUCAUUCAUUUGCAGAGCUUUCUCAGAGAUACAUCAGAAUGAUGUAACAUACUGCUGAUAUCAUUUCCGUCUUAGAAUACUUGAUUUAUAGCAUUCAAAGAAGUUAAGAGGGUAGAUACCUAUAUGUGGAGGUCAUCAUCUUUGUCUUCGUCAUCAUCAACUUGAGGAUUCUUUUACUGCCAUUGAUGCAUUUAGUUCAAUCUCAAUUCUGUUUACCACAUAAAUUGUAGUCUAAAAUGCUAGUUUAGCUUACCUCCACAUAAUUUAUAGUGUAAUGCUAGUUCAGAUCAGAAAAUCUGUCACUUUAUGACUUGUGCCUCAAUAUUCAUUGGUUGCAUUUACGCUAAUCUGCCUUUCAUGGGCUGUAAUCGAUGUAUUUGUAUGCAUUUGGGGUUGAAACAUUGGACCACAUUCUACUUGAAAUAUUGAUUUGCUUUGCAUGGCUUAAUAUAAUGGUGACCUUUUUAUUGCACUCUAGUAGAUGUAAUUUUAUAAACAGGUAAGCACAUUUUGACCAUCUUCACCACCUUCGUGCGUUCGCCAUCUUCACCACCCCCGACGAGAGGCAGCUCAUUUUUCCCAAUUGAAUGUUUGAUCUCAUUUUGCUUGGUGGUUGCAAAUCACGUAUUGGUGGUUCAAGCGAAGGGAAAGAAAGGAAGACGAGAGGGGUGGCAGUGUGGUGUAGGGGACUCAACCGCAUCGGUGUCAAGUUGAGGGGUGUAAGGUAGAUCUUAAUGAUGCCAAGGCUUACUAAGGUGUGGUAGCAUUUCAAGCCACCUAAAGUCAUUGUUGCUGGCCUUGAACGGAGAUUUUAUCAACAGUACAGCAAGUCAACUAGCCCUCUGCUCUAGUUACUUUUCUUUCUCAUUUGUUGGUUCUAAUUAUUGUUUGUUAUUCUGGUUAAUAUUUUGAGGGUUUUUCAUCCUGUUGCUUUUAGGUCUUGUGUUAUGUUUUUGGCAUAUGUAGAUUGUCAUUUGUAAUUAAGCUAUUUUUUUGGCCUUUUAUUUUAUUUUUUAAAUGUUGUUCAUCAGUUUUGUGUUAUGUUUUACUUAUCAAAAAAAGUUUUGUGUUA